rnacentral:rRNA from 1 species
UACGUAGGGGGCGAGCGUUGUCCGGAGUUACUGGGCGUAAAGGGCAUGCAGGCGGUCGGACGCGUUUCGGGUGACAGCGGGUGGCUUAACUACCCGAGCGGUCGAAAGACGGUGCGACUUGAGGACGCGAGAGGGACACGGAAUUCCGGGUGGAGUGGUGAAAUGCGUAGAGAUCCGGAGGAACACCGAAGGCGAAGGCAGUGUCCUGGCGCGUGACUGACGCUGAGGUGCGAAAGCCAGGGGAGCGAACGGG